UGCAGUCGAGCGCCCCGCAAGGGGAGCGGCAGACGGGUGAGUAACGCGUGGGAAUCUACCGUGCCCUACGGAAUAGCUCCGGGAAACUGGAAUUAAUACCGUAUACGCCCUACGGGGGAAAGAUUUAUCGGGGUAUGAUGAGCCCGCGUUGGAUUAGCUAGUUGGUGGGGUAAAGGCCUACCAAGGCGACGAUCCAUAGCUGGUCUGAGAGGAUGAUCAGCCACAUUGGGACUGAGACACGGCCCAAACUCCUACGGGAGGCAGCAGUGGGGAAUAUUGGACAAUGGGCGCAAGCCUGAUCCAGCCAUGCCGCGUGAGUGAUGAAGGUCUUAGGAUUGUAAAGCUCUUUCACCGGUGAAGAUAAUGACGGUAACCGGAGAAGAAGCCCCGGCUAACUUCGUGCCAGCAGCCGCGGUAAUACGAAGGGGGCUAGCGUUGUUCGGAAUUACUGGGCGUAAAGCGCACGUAGGCGGAUAUUUAAGUCAGGGGUGAAAUCCCAGAGCUCAACUCUGGAACUGCCUUUGAUACUGGGUAUCUUGAGUAUGGAAGAGGUGAGUGGAAUUCCGAGUGUAGAGGUGAAAUUCGUAGAUAUUCGGAGGAACACCAGUGGCGAAGGCGGCUCACUGGUCCAUUACUGACGCUGAGGUGCGAAAGCGUGGGGA
rnacentral:rRNA from 1 species